rnacentral:rRNA from 1 species
GACGAACGCUGGCGGCGUGCUUAACACAUGCAAGUCGAACGGAAAGGCCCUGCUUUUGUGGGGUGCUCGAGUGGCGAACGGGUGAGUAACACGUGGGUAACCUGCCCUUGACUUUGGGAUAACUUCAGGAAACUGGGGCUAAUACCGGAUAGGAGCUCCUGCUGCAUGGUGGGGGUUGGAAAGUUUCGGCGGUUGGGGAUGGACUCGCGGCUUAUCAGCUUGUUGGUGGGGUAGUGGCUUACCAAGGCUUUGACGGGUAGCCGGCCUGAGAGGGUGACCGGCCACAUUGGGACUGAGAUACGGCCCAGACUCCUACGGGAGGCAGCAGUGGGGAAUAUUGCACAAUGGGCGGAAGCCUGAUGCAGCAACGCCGCGUGCGGGAUGACGGCCUUCGGGUUGUAAACCGCUUUCGCCUGCGACGAAGCGUGAGUGACGGUAAUGGGUAAAGAAGCACCGGCUAACUACGUG